rnacentral:rRNA from 1 species
AUACAUGCAGUCGAGCGGACAGAAGGGAGCUUGCUCCCGGAUGUUAGCGGCGGACGGGUGAGUAACACGUGGGUAACCUGCCUGUAAGACUGGGAUAACUCCGGGAAACCGGAGCUAAUACCGGAUAGUUCCUUGAACCGCAUGGUUCAAGGAUGAAAGACGGUUUCGGCUGUCACUUACAGAUGGACCCGCGGCGCAUUAGCUAGUUGGUGAGGUAACGGCUCACCAAGGCGACGAUGCGUAGCCGACCUGAGAGGGUGAUCGGCCACACUGGGACUGAGACACGGCCCAGACUCCUACGGGAGGCAGCAGUAGGGAAUCUUCCGCAAUGGACGAAAGUCUGACGGAGCAACGCCGCGUGAGUGAUGAAGGUUUUCGGAUCGUAAAGCUCUGUUGUUAGGGAAGAACAAGUGCAAGAGUAACUGCUUGCACCUUGACGGUACCUAACCAGAAAGCCACGGCUAACUACGUGCCAGCAGCCGCGGUAAUACGUAGGUGGCAAGCGUUGUCCGGAAUUAUUGGGCGUAAAGGGCUCGCAGGCGGUUUCUUAAGUCUGAUGUGAAAGCCCCCGGCUCAACCGGGGAGGGUCAUUGGAAACUGGGAAACUUGAGUGCAGAAGAGGAGAGUGGAAUUCCACGUGUAGCGGUGAAAUGCGUAGAGAUGUGGAGGAACACCAGUGGCGAAGGCGACUCUCUGGUCUGUAACUGACGCUGAGGAGCGAAAGCGUGGGGGAGCGAACAGGAUUAGAUACCCUGUAGUCCA